rnacentral:rRNA from 1 species
AUUGAACGCUAGCGGGAUGCUUUACACAUGCAAGUCGAACGAGUGGCGGACGGGAGAGUAAUAAAACGGAACGUGCCCAGUAGAGGGGGAUAAGUACUAGAAGGAGGGACUACAACCGCAUAAAAUUGGCGCGGACGAAAUCGGAUUAGCGAGUUGGUGGGGUAAAGGCUCACCAAGGCCACGAUCCGUAGUUGGUUUGAGAGGACGACCAGCCACACUGGGACUGAGACACGGCCCAGACUCCUACGGGAGGCAGCAGUGGGGAAUUUUGGACAAUGGGGGAAACCCUGAUCCAGCCAUCCCGCGUGUAUGAGAAGGCCUUCGGGUUGUAAAGUACUUUUGGCAGAGAAGCGGUAUCUGCAGAAUAAGCACCGGCUAACUACGUGCCAGCAGCCGCGGUAAUAC